UCACCAGAAAAUGAACUCCAAAGGCAGUUUAUGGUAUCACACAUUCUCUCUCAACCUGAAUUCUACACCAUUAAAAGAUGGACGCAAUACAAGUAAUACUGUAGUUUCACAUUAAGAAUUUGUGAUUAAAGUGUUGUCGAAGAGAGCAGAAGACUUACCAACUAAGACUACUUGGAGGUAACCGUUACAUGCAUUUCUCCACUUUGUCCGCAUCAUUUGAAGUGAGGUUCAUCAGCUUCCAUGUCUAGGACAUGAGACUCACAACACAUCGACGAUAAAAGACUGAAAACCUUCUGUCCUCUGUC
rnacentral:misc_RNA from 1 species